CUGCCGGCGACCGGCGCACGGGUGAGUAACACGUAUGGAACCUGCCCGCAGCAGGGGGAUAAGCGGAAGAAAUUCCGUCUAAUACCGCGUAACAACGUUGGGAGGCAUCUCCCGAUGUUUAAAGAUUUAUCGGCUGCGGAUGGCCAUGCGGCGCAUUAGCUAGUCGGCGGGGUAACGGCCCACCGAGGCGACGAUGCGUAGGGGUUCUGAGAGGAAGGUCCCCCACACUGGUACCGAGACACGGACCAGACUCCUACGGAAGGCAGCAG
rnacentral:rRNA from 1 species